GAGGAGCUCCCGUAGCUUCUCCCCUGAGCCCUGGCCAGGCUCUGGGGGAAUCUCAUGUGAGAUUGAGACCAGAUAUUUCCGCUUAAACAAAGGUGCUAGCUAUUCUGACUUGCUGAUUUUGGGUUCUACAAGGCUGGACCUGCUCACAGCGACUCUGGAUGCCUCAGCUACGGGUGGAGGCACCGUGUAGGAUUUCCCACUUGCAAGGACAGGCUCUGCC